rnacentral:tRNA from 1 species
GCCCGAUUAACUCAGCUGGUUAGAGUGUGGUGCUAAUAACGCCAAAGUCGCAGGUUCGAUCCCUGUAUCGGGCA